AUGCAAGGCCUGAAGAGGCUGCCCCUUUCCUUAAAACACACACUCACGGGUCAGGACCUUUUCCCGACCCCCAGCCAUUUCUCAGGCCUCCCUGGCAGCGGGGCCUGCGCUCCCCCUCCCGCCUCCGGCACCGGGCCCAUACCCAUGGGAGGCCAUGAUGAAAAUCUUCAUGUAACCUACACACAACUGCUCAUCCUGCACCUGAACAACAGAUGUCUGUGGUACCUGGAAUCCAGAGAAAGAUGGGAGAGGAAUGCCACAUGGCAUCAGUGUGGAAUUGGGGCAAUUAGAAAAGAAACUGCAAUUUCCUGUGUUUUUAUUUGGCCAGAAAUCCCAUGGGAAAGCUGUGGAGUCCUUCAAGCCUCCAGUCUUCACAAAAACAUUGUCCAGAAGAAAAGAAAUUCACAUCAGAAAGGCAGGAAUUUGCUGAAGAGGUUGCUGGGCUGCCUUCCUGGAUCCUCUCUCAGCAAGCGAAUUUCAUUCUGGAGAUAG
rnacentral:lncRNA from 1 species